UUGGUGCUUCGCUGACGAGUGGCGGACGGGUGAGUAAUGUCUGGGAAACUGCCUGAUGGAGGGGGAUAACUACUGGAAACGGUAGCUAAUACCGCAUAACGUCGCAAGACCAAAGAGGGGGACCUUCGGGCCUCUUGCCAUCGGAUGUGCCCAGAUGGGAUUAGCUAGUAGGUGGGGUAACGGCUCACCUAGGCGACGAUCCCUAGCUGGUCUGAGAGGAUGACCAGCCACACUGGAACUGAGACACGGUCCAGACUCCUACGGGAGGCAGCAGUGGGGAAUAUUGCACAAUGGGCGCAAGCCUGAUGCAGCCAUGCCGCGUGUAUGAAGAAGGCCUUCGGGUUGUAAAGUACUUUCAGCGGGGAGGAAGGGAGUAAAGUUAAUACCUUUGCUCAUUGACGUUACCCGCAGAAGAAGCACCGGCUAACUCCGUGCCAGCAGCCGCGGUAAUACGGAGGGUGCAAGCGUUAAUCGGAAUUACUGGGCGUAAAGCGCACGCAGGCGGUUUGUUAAGUCAGAUGUGAAAUCCCCGGGCUCAACCUGGGAACUGCAUCUGAUACUGGCAAGCUUGAGUCUCGUAGAGGGGGGUAGAAUUCCAGGUGUAGCGGUGAAAUGCGUAGAGAUCUGGAGGAAUACCGGUGGCGAAGGCGGCCCCCUGGACGAAGACUGACGCUCAGGUGCGAAAGCGUGGGGAGCAAACAGGAUUAGA
rnacentral:rRNA from 1 species